rnacentral:rRNA from 1 species
CCCUUAGAUGUUCUGGGCGGCCCGCGCACUACAUUGGCACUAGCAAAGAGAUCCUAGAUUGAAUUCUUUGGGGUAUUCUUCUAAAUGGUGUCGUGACUGGGAUAAAUCCUUGUAAUUAUUGGUUUUGAACGAGGAAUUCCUUGUAAUCGCGGUUUAUCAGCUCGCGUUGAAUGCGUCCCUGCCCUUUGUACACACCGCCCGUCGCUCCUACCGAUGGAUCGUCCGGUGAAGCUCACGGAGUGACUGUUCACCCAACGGUUUACGAAGUGAAAUGGACCUCACGAUUUAGAGGAAGGAGAAGUCGUAACA